rnacentral:rRNA from 1 species
GACGAACGCUGGCGGCGUGCUUAACACAUGCAAGUCGAACGGAAAGGCCCUGCUUUUGUGGGGUGCUCGAGUGGCGAACGGGUGAGUAACACGUGAGUAACCUGCCCUUGACUUUGGGAUAACUUCAGGAAACUGGGGCUAAUACCGGAUAGGAGCUCCUGCUGCAUGGUGGGGGUUGGAAAGUUUCGGCGGUUGGGGAUGGACUCGCGGCUUAUCAGCUUGUUGGUGGGGUAGUGGCUUACCAAGGCUUUGACGGGUAGCCGGCCUGAGAGGGUGACCGGCCACAUGGGGACUGAGAGACGGCCCAGACGCCUACGGGAGGCAGCAGUGGGGAAUAUUGCACAAUGGGCGGAAGCCUGAUGCAGCAACGCCGCGUGCGGGAUGACGGCCUUCGGGUUGUAAACCGCUUUCGCCGGUGACGAAGCGUGAGUGACGGUAAUGGGUAAAGAAGCACCGGCUAACUACGUG